UCAUGGGAGACUUUGCUUUGGAGAAUGCCCAGCAGGUUUGGAGGCAACAAGCACAUCUUGAUUCAAUAAAAAAUAAAGAAAGGAAAUACCAACAGGGAAGAGGGCCAUGCAAUAUUUUCAUUCUAGACACUUCAUCGAAGGUCGUCGAAGAUGGCUUCAUACAAAUGAAACAGACAUUCUGCACCAUUAUGGAUGAGUAUUCCAAAUACCCGGAGACAGAUGAAAAUGUAGCUGUAAUAAUAUGCGGGAGGACAACAGCAUUCAAAUACCACUAUUCUAAUCAAUACAACCAAAUAAAACGCU